AGAGUUUGAUCCUGGCUCAGGAUGAACGCUAGCGGCGCGCCUUAUGCAUGCAAGUCGUACGGUUUAUCGCAAGAUAGACAGUGGCAAACGGGUGAGUAAUAGUUAGGUAACCUGCCUUUAAGUGGGGGAUAACACUUCGAAAGAAGUGCUAAUACCGCAUGUGGUGCUCUUUCAUAAGAAGGAUCACUAAAACCGCAAGGUGCUUGAAGAGGGGCCUGACUCCGAUUAGCUAGUUGGUGAGGUAACGGCCCACCAAGGCUGGGAUCGGUAGCUGGUCUGAGAGGAUGGUCAGCCACACUGGGACUGAGACACGGCCCAGACUCCUACGGGAGGCAGCAGCAAGGAAUCUUGGGCAAUGGGCGAAAGCCUGACCCAGCGACGCCGCGUGAGGGAUGAAGGCCUUCGGGUUGUAAACCUCUUUUCUCAGGGAAGAAUAAUGACGGUACCUGAGGAAUAAGUCUCGGCUAACUACGUGCCAGCAGCCGCGGUAAUACGUAGGAGGCGAGCGUUAUCCGGAUUUAUUGGGCGUAAAGUGGGCGUAGGUGGUCUUUCAAGUCAGAUGUGAAAUCUCCCGGCUCAACUGGGAGGGGUCAUCUGAUACUGUUGGACUUGAGUACAGCAGGGGGAAAUGGAAUUCCCGGUGUAGUGGUGAAAUGCGUAGAUAUCGGGAGGAACACCAGAGGCGAAGGCGAUUUUCCAGGCUGAAACUGACACUGAGGCCCGAAAGCGUGGGGAGCGAACAGGAUUAGAUACCCUGGUAGUCCACGCCUUAAACUAUGGGUACUAGGUAUAGGGAGUAUCGACCCUUUCUGUGCCGAAGCUAACGCUUUAAGUACCCCGCCUGGGGAGUACGGUCGCAAGACUAAAACUCAAAGGAAUUGACGG
rnacentral:rRNA from 1 species